rnacentral:rRNA from 1 species
UACGUAGGGCGCAAGCGUUAUCCGGAAUUAUUGGGCGUAAAGAGCUCGUAGGCGGUUUGUCGCGUCUGCCGUGAAAGUCCGGGGCUCAACUCCGGAUCUGCGGUGGGUACGGGCAGACUAGAGUGAUGUAGGGGAGACUGGAAUUCCUGGUGUAGCGGUGAAAUGCGCAGAUAUCAGGAGGAACACCGAUGGCGAAGGCAGGUCUCUGGGCAUUAACUGACGCUGAGGAGCAAAAGCAUGGGGAGCGAACAGG